rnacentral:lncRNA from 1 species
CCACAAUUAUUUCGUAGUGCAUUUCUUUUAGAACAUAAAUGUAAAAAAAAAAAUCUCACCUGCGCUUUCUCAAAGAAACUUUUACAGUGUGUUGUAGUACUUUUGGGACAAAUUAUAUCAAAAUUAUAGAAAACGUCAUCGUCUCUAACUCAAAAUAUGGACAAUUUUAUCUUUAGGGCGUCUUGAAAUCUUUUGACAGCUUUCGAAGUGCUUUUUUUCAACCUUUUUCACCUGGACCAAAUCACUACUUUCCUCUAAAAUUCUGGACCCAAAUUUUUUCACAGUGUAAUUUCACCCCCCUACUUGCAAUUUGAGGCAUUAAACAUGGAGAAAUAAAUUUGGAAGGGAUAUAAAAAUUAAUGGCAAGUAACCCACUGUCAACACUAGGGACUAUAUUUGUGAACAACGAAAAUCAAGGGACGACAAUUGUGGUCUCGGACCUAUA